UUGAAAAAAAAAAAAAUGAAGGUAGGAUUAUCAAUGGAAGCAAGAGUAGCAACAACCUCUAUCCUCUUCUCUCACCUCCACACUUCACUCCCUUCUCCCACUCUCUCUAAACUUCCAUUCUUAUCUAAAUCUUCACCUUCUCAAUUUCAUCUUCGCAUUUCCAAUUCUACCCUUUCUUCUCCUCUCAAAUUCCCCCUCUACCCCUCAAAUACCCCCUUUAUCAGACCAACUUUUGAAUUACAAUCUGCAGUUGAAGAAGUUGCAUUAGAGCAAAUUCCCAGUGAAACCCAGGAUAAUAAUAUUCAAAAGAGGAAACUUUAUGUGGUUAAUUUGCCAUAUUCUCUGUCUUCUGAUGAUUUGAAGAAGGUGUUUAGUGAGUGUGGUACUGUCAGGGAUAUUGAGUUGAUUAAAAAUAAAGAUGGGAAGAACAGAGGAUUUGCAUUUGUUACAAUGGAUUCUGGAGAUGAAGCUGAGGCUGCUAUUGAUAAAUUUCAUUCCAAGGAAUUGUCAGGGAGAACUAUUAGGGUGGAGUUUGCAAAGAGUCUAAAGAAGCCUCAACCGCAACCUCCUGCAGUUCAACCUGUUAAAGAGACAGUAUAUAAACUUUAUGUAUCCAAUCUCCAAUGGAAAGUGAGAUCCACGGACCUCAAAGAAUUCUUUUCAUCUGAUUUUACUCCUGUUUCAACUAGGGUUGUUUUUGAGAGUACUCCAUUUUUGAGAUCUGCUGGUUAUGGUUUUGUCUCGUUUAACACAAGGGAGGAAGCGGAGGAUGCUCUCACUUCUUUGGAUGGGAAGGAGCUAAUGGGUCGUCCAGUACGCCUAAAAUUCAGUGAGCAGAAUAAGGAUGGUGAUGCUACAAAUGAAGGAGAAGAAACAAAUUUGGAUGAAUCUUCAGCUGUGCUUAGUGAAACAGAACUAUCCGAAGAUCAGUCUGACAAGUCAUAGAGAGAAAAAUCUUCCACUUGGGCAUGCUUGAACAUUUGCGAAAAAAAAAACCUUUUCUCCUUUUGAAGUCGAGGUACUCAGAAGUGUACUGUCAAGUUGCUUAAUCUGGAGUUUAGAGUUCCCUAUCUCUUGUUCCAAGUGUGUUGCCAUUAAUUACGUCGAGAUGAUUGUACUACCUAUCGUUUAAGAGACGAAAUUGUCGGUGACGUCUAUAUGGCUCUUGGAUGAGGCUUUGGUAUGGGCAGCAAUAACUAUACUCAACCACAUUCUUGGAUUUUUUUUUUUUUUUUUUUUUUUUUUUUUUUUUCUGGCAUCCUUGUCAUUUCGCAUUGAAAUAUAUGGUUAAUUGGUUAACAUGCUUAUCAAAUGUCUACUUUCUAACUAUACUACAUUAAUGUUCAAGGCAGUUGUACCCUCGUGAGUCGUGACA